AAAUCUUAAAUAAUUAAACUGCAAAUUUAAUAUAGAAUUUUAAUUCUAAGAUUU
rnacentral:tRNA from 1 species